CUUUUGCAGUAAUAUUCUCCCACUACUUGUAAUGUAUUUGGGAUCAUGACGCCUUUCCAUGACACCUAGGAGGGUGAGAUAAGAAUCUAAACCACAGAUAAAAAAGAGAGAUGAACAAACAAUGAAUCAUGGAACACUACAUCAAAAACUAAUGAUGUAAUAUAUGGUGACUAACAUAACAAUAAAAAAAUUUAAAAAAAGAGAGAGAAAUAAGAGGCUAAGAGCUUUCAUUUUACUCAUAAACUUGUGGAUUUGAAAGCUUUAUAAAAUCUUUUUCCUGUUUGAGAAUAAAGUAUCUGAUGAGA